UCGGAGGUAUGCUGAGAGGGCCCUAUGG
rnacentral:sRNA from 1 species